GCGGCAUGCUUUACACAUGCAAGUCGAACGGUAACAGGCCUUCGGGCGCUGACGAGUGGCGAACGGGUGAGUAAUGCAUCGGAACGUGCCCAGUCGUGGGGGAUAACUGCUCGAAAGAGCAGCUAAUACCGCAUACGAUCUGCGGAUGAAAGCGGGGGACCUUCGGGCCUCGCGCGAUUGGAGCGGCCGAUGUCAGAUUAGGUAGUUGGUGGGGUAAAGGCUCACCAAGCCAACGAUCUGUAGCUGGUCUGAGAGGACGACCAGCCACACUGGGACUGAGACACGGCCCAGACUCCUACGGGAGGCAGCAGUGGGGAAUUUUGGACAAUGGGCGCAAGCCUGAUCCAGCAAUGCCGCGUGCAGGAAGAAGGCCUUCGGGUUGUAAACUGCUUUUGUACGGAACGAAACGGUCUGGGUUAAUACCCUGGGCUAAUGACGGUACCGUAAGAAUAAGCACCGGCUAACUACGUGCCAGCAGCCGCGGUAAUACGUAGGGUGCAAGC
rnacentral:rRNA from 1 species